rnacentral:snRNA from 1 species
AACUGUGAAGGCGAUAUGGCUGCAACAUCUGUCACCCCAUUGAUCACUCAGGUUGUUUCAGCUGAUCUGGCUGACUAGGUGGGUAUCCCCAUCCUCCCUCAUUACACCAUGUGCUGGAAUAAUGGCAGCUGCAAGCUUGAUAAAAUACUGUAAGACCACUAUCCCAAAUAGAAAGAGUAUACUGUUUUUUUGAUCAAAGGUAUACAAUAGCUGUACUCCUCUGCUAAAACCUCCAAAUAAACUCAAGGUCCAAGGACAACAUAGGGUAUCAUAAAAUGUAUGUAUUUAUUU